UGACUGCAAAGAUAUAGAAACUCUCAGGAGACGCUGCUUUUGAAAACAAGAAACAGUGAAUUGGGCCACUACACAACCUGCUGGCUGUGAAGAAUGAUAAUGAAUUUUGCAGUUUGCAGGCAUGACCAUUUUCGGGGAAGAGAGAACUUCUCUUCCAGGUGGACCUGAUACAUGAUUGUUCUUAAGAGAACUGCUCUUCCAGGUGGACAUGAUACAUGUUAUGUGUGACUCUUUGUUUUCAAAAUGGCUGAAAUCCUUUACUUGCAUUUGUAACUUGACAUGAGUAAUUUCGGGGGGGGGGGGGUUGUACUAAUAAAACUUCUGGUAU